rnacentral:rRNA from 1 species
UGGGGAAUAUUGGACAAUGGGCGCAAGCCUGAUCCAGCCAUGCCGCGUGAGUGAUGAAGGCCCUAGGGUUGUAAAGCUCUUUCACCGGUGAAGAUAAUGACUGUAACCGGAGAAGAAGCCCCGGCUAACUUCGUGCCAGCAGCCGCGGUAAUACGAAGGGGGCUAGCGUUUUUCGGAUUUACUGGGCGUAAAGCGCACGUAGGCGGACUUUUAAGUCAGGGGUGAAAUCCCGGGGCUCAACCCCGGAACUGCCUUUGAUACUGGAAGUCUUGAGUAUGGUAGAGGUGAGUGGAAUUCCGAGUGUAGAGGUGAAAUUCGUAGAUAUUCGGAGGAACAACAGUGGCGAAGGCGGCUCACUGGACCAUUACUGACGCUGAGGUGCGAAAGCGGGAGGAGCAAACAGG